rnacentral:rRNA from 1 species
CAAGUCGAACGAGAAGCCCGGGCUUGCCCGGGUGGACAGUGGCGAACGGGUGAGUAACACGUGAGGAACCUGCCCCGAAGACCGGGACAACACCGGGAAACCGGUGCUAAUACCGGAUGCCUUCACCGGAUCGCAUGGUCUGGUGAAGAAAUGGAUUCCGCUUCGGGAUGGCCUCGCGGCCUAUCAGCUUGUUGGUGGGNNNAUGGCCCACCAAGGCAACGACGGGUAGCUGGUCNGAGAGGAUGUCCAGCCACACUGGGACUGAGACACGGCCCA